rnacentral:lncRNA from 1 species
UUUUUCCCCAUUUCCCAUCCCUGUUUUCCCCCCAGGUGCCCCGGAUCAUCCUGUGGCUCAUGGUGGAGCUGCCCAUCAUUGGCUUUGCCCCAUUUUUUCCCUUGUUUUUUACUCAUUUCUUACCCAUUUUUUACCCGUUUUUUUCCCCGUUUUUUCCUGUAUUUUCCCAUUUUUCCCAUUUUUUCCCAUCCCUGUUUUUGUCCCCCCAGGUGCCCCGGAUCAUGCUGUGGCUCAUGGUGGAGUUGGCCAUCAUCGGCUCGGACAUGCAGGAGGUGAUCGGCUCUGCCAUCGCCAUCAACCUGCUCUCGGUGGGCAAGUGAGUGUGGGCACGGGCUCCCGUCGGAUUUAACAUUUUACCUUCAUUUCAUUCGUUUUACCUUUUUUGGGGUUUUGGUUUUGAUUUGGUUUCCUUUAUCUUUGAUUGUGUCUUUGAUUUCAUUUAUUUUACCUUUUUUUGUACCUCUGAUUUGAUUUCUUUUACCUUUGAUCUCAUUUAUUUUACUUUUGGUUAUACCUCUGAUUUAAUUUCUUUGACGUUUGAUUGUAUCUUUGAUUUCGUUUAUUUUACCUUUGUUUAUACCUCUGGUUUGAUUUACCUUUGUAUCCUUGAUUUUAUUUGUUUUAUCUUUGAUUGUGUCUUUGAUUUUAUUUUUUUACCUUGGUUUGUACCUCUGUUUUGAUUUCUUUUACCUUUUUAUCUUUGAUUCCAUUUAUUUUACCUUUGAUUUCAUUUAUUUUACCUUUUUUUGUACCUCUGGUUUGAUUUCUUUUACCUUUGAUCUCAUUUAUUUUACUUUUGUUUAUACCUCUGAUUUAAUUUCUUUGACGUUUGAUUGUGUCUUUGAUUUCAUUUAUUUUACCUUUGUUUGUACCCCUGGUUUGAUUUACCUUUGUAUCCUUGAUUUUAUUUGUUUUUUAUUGUGUCUUUGAUUUUAUUUUUUUACCUUUGUUUGUCCCUUUGAUUUCAUUUGUUUUACCAUUGUACCUUUGAUUUGAUUUCUUUUACCUUUUUAUCUUUGAUUCCAUUUAUUUUACCUUUGAUUUAGUUUGUUUUACCUUUGAUAGUACCUUUGAUUUGAUUUGUUUUAUCUUUGAUUGAUUGUAUCUUUGAUUUAAUUUCUUUUACCUUUUUAUCUUUGAUUUCAUUUGUUUUACCAUUGUACCUUUGAUUUCUUUUACCUUUUUAUAUUUGAUUCCAUUUAUUUUACCUUUGAUUUCAUUUGUUUUACCUUUGUUUGUCCCUUUGAUUUAAUUUCUUUUACCAUUGUAUCUUUGAUUUGAUUUCUUUUGUUUAUACCUUUGAUUUCAUUUGUUUUAUCU